GAUGAACGCUAGCGAUAGGCUUAACACAUGCAAGUCGAGGGGCAGCAUGGUCUUAGCUUGCUAAGACUGAUGGCGACCGGCGCACGGGUGCGUAACGCGUAUGCAACUUGCCUCACAGAGGGGGAUAACCCGUCGAAAGACGGACUAAUACCGCGUACACUCUAUGUUGGGCAUCCAAUGUAGAGGAAAUGAAAUUCGCUGUGAGAUAGGCAUGCGUCCCAUUAGCUAGUUGGUGAGGUAACGGCUCACCAAGGCGACGAUGGGUAGGGGAACUGAGAGGUUGAACCCCCACACUGGUACUGAGACACGGACCAGACUCCUACGGGAGGCAGCAGUGAGGAAUAUUGGUCAAUGGGCGAGAGCCUGAACCAGCCAAGUCGCGUGAAGGAUAACUGUCUUAUGGAUUGUAAACUUCUUUUGUAGGGGAAUAAAGAACGGCGGUGUUGUCUCAUGUCCGUUCUCCGCGAGCAAGCAUUGACUAACUCCCUGCUCCACCCCUUGGUCAGCCGGUGGAUGCCC
rnacentral:rRNA from 1 species